rnacentral:rRNA from 1 species
AACGAACGCUGGCGGCAGGCUUAACACAUGCAAGUCGAGCGCCCCGCAAGGGGAGCGGCAGACGGGUGAGUAACGCGUGGGAAUCUACCCAUCUCUACGGAAUAACGCAUGGAAACGUGUGCUAAUACCGUAUACGUCCUUCGGGAGAAAGAUUUAUCGGAGAUGGCAUGAGCCCGCGUUGGAUUAGCUAGUUGGUGGGGUAAAGGCCUACCAAGGCGACGAUCCAUAGCUGGUCUGAGAGGAUGAGCAGCCACACUGGGACUGAGACACGGCCCAGACUCCUACGGGAGGCAGCAGUGGGGAAUAUUGGACAAUGGGCGCAAGCCUGAUCCAGCCAUGCCGCGUGAGUGAUGAAGGCCCUAGGGUUGUAAAGCUCUUUCACCGGUGAAGAUAAUGACGGUAACCGGAGAAGAAGCCCCGGCUAACUUCGUGCCAGCCGCCGCCGUAAGAC